UACGAGGGGGGCAAGCGUUGUUCGGAAUUAUUGGGCGUAAAGGGCGCGUAGGCGGUUUGACAAGUCUGAUGUGAAAUCUAUGGGCUCAACCCAUAGCCUGCAUUAGAAACUGUCGGGCUUGAGUAUGGGAGAGGUGAGUGGAAUUUCCGGUGUAGCGGUGAAAUGCGUAGAUAUCGGAAGGAACACCUGUGGCGAAAGCGGCUCACUGGACCAUAACUGACGCUGAGGCGCG
rnacentral:rRNA from 1 species